CACAGAUUCCAAACCCAAGGUAGAUGGGGCUGACAUGUCUCUGGAUGCUCUCAGUGCUCUUGGGGAUACUUUGCCCACAGAUUUGCCAAAACCUGAACUCCCCAAACUCAGACCUGAGGACAUUGUGUCUGAAAACAAACUGAAAGAAGAGGAGGGGGUUCGU